UUCUACAUUCUCUCUUAUUUGAUUUGACAGAAAUACCCCCAAAAAGGUUACAACUAUAUUAUAAACAACUCACUUUAUGCCUAAAUCACCUACACCUUAAUACCUGCGCCCAAAAAGAAAUAAGACAUUUCGAGUGGGCUAGAGGGAGUACAUGUUAAACUAAGAGAAUGAAGCAGAAGUAGGUGCUAAACAAGGAGAUGUGAAUGUUAGUUAGCAAGAUGAGUGAUACAGAUCAUUAUUUAGUUAUAGUUAAUUAGUAUAUUGUUUCUUUAAUUUAUUUAGUUAUUUAGGCUUUAAGUUAUUUAGAGCUAGAAUAAAGUAAUGGGUCAGGCUUUUGUGUGGGCUCCCGCUCCAAGAUAAUUCUUGGGCCUCAAGUUUUUGUAGGUCUUUAAAUAAGUUAAUAGUGAGUUAGGGUUAGGAUUAUCGCUGCAGUAUUAUUCUGGACAGCUUCUGCUGUAGGCCUCGCAAGAGGAGUUCGGGACAGCGUUCUCGCUGUAGGCCUCCCAAGAGGCGCUGUAGGCCUCCCAAGAGGAGGGUUAUUCUCUGUUUUCCUUGUUCAGUAUUUAUUUCAAUUUAUUUCUUUCAGUUCUCUUCUUAUCUACUUAUCUCAAUCUCUUCACU
rnacentral:lncRNA from 1 species